rnacentral:rRNA from 1 species
AGCCGCCGCGGUAAUACCAGCACCCCGAGUGGUCGGGACGAUUAUUGGGCCUAAAGCAUCCGUAGCCGGUUUUACAAGUCCUCCGUUAAAUCCAACUGCUUAACAGAUGGGCCGCGGAGGAUACUAUAAGACUAGGAGGCAGGAGAGGCAAGCGGUACUCAGUGGGUAGGGGUAAAAUCCGUUGAUCCAUUGAAGACCACCAGUGGCGAAGGCGGCUUGCCAGAAUGCGCUCGACGGUGAGGGAUGAAAGCUGGGGGAGCAAACCGGAUUAGAUACCCGGGUAGUCCCAGCUGUAAACGAUGCAGACUCGGUGAUGGACUAGCUUCAUGCUAGUCCAGUGCCGCAGGGAAGCCGUUAAGUCUGCCGCCUGGGUAGUACGGUCGCAAGACUGAAACUUAA